rnacentral:rRNA from 1 species
AAUAUUGGACAAUGGGCGAAAGCCUGAUCCAGCCAUGCCGCGUGUGUGAAGAAGGUCUUCGGAUUGUAAAGCACUUUAAGUUGGGAGGAAGGGGUUGAAGCUAAUACCUUCAAUCUUUGACGUUACCAACAGAAUAAGCACCGGCUAACUCUGUGCCAGCAGCCGCGGUAAUACAGAGGGUGCAAGCGUUAAUCGGAAUUACUGGGCGUAAAACGCGGGUAGGUGGUUCCAUAAGAUUGAAGUUAAAUCCCCGGGCUUAACCUGGGAACUUCUUUCAUAACUGCUGAGCUUGAGUAAGGUAGAGGGUAGUUGAAUUUCCUGUGUAGCGGUGAAAUGCGUAGAUAUAGGAAGGAACACCAGUGGCGAAGGCGACUACCUGGACUGAUACUGACACUGAGGUGCGAAAGCGUGGGGAGCAAACAGG